rnacentral:misc_RNA from 1 species
UAGAAUCGAAUGGAUGUAUUGUUUGAUGUUUGUCGAUGAAUUGAAAGUGGGGUGUAGUAUUCCACUUUCAUUUUUAUCCAUACUCUCAUUCUUGCAUCCACAACAUUUGCCUUGGGCACUACGUCUAUUUAGUUUGACUGAUUGAUUUUAAUUAGUUUAAA